UACAGAGGGUGCGAGCGUUGUUCGGAAUUAUUGGGCGUAAAGGGCGCGUAGGCGGUGCGGUAAGUCACCUGUGAAAUCUCCUGGCUCAACUGGGAGCUUGCAGGCGAAACUGCCGUGCUGGAGUGUGGGAGAGGUGCGUGGAAUUCCUGGUGUAGCGGUGAAAUGCGUAGAUAUCAGGAGGAACACCUGUGGCGAAAGCGGCGCACUGGACCACAGCUGACGCUGAGGCGCGAAAGCUAGGGGAGCAAACAGG
rnacentral:rRNA from 1 species